rnacentral:rRNA from 1 species
GAUGAACGCUGGCGGCGUGCUUAACACAUGCAAGUCGAACGAGAAGUGAAGACGGAAACCUUCGGGCGGAAGGCUUUAUUUCGAGUGGCGGACGGGUGAGUAACGCGUGGGUAACCUGCCUCAUACAGGGGGAUAACAGUUGGAAACGACUGUUAAUACCGCAUAAGACCACAGCACCGCAUGGUGCGGGGGUAAAAACUCCGGUGGUAUGAGAUGGACCCGCGUUCGAUUAGCCAGUUGGCGGGGUAACGGCCCACCAAAGCGACGAUCGAUAGCCGAUCUGAGAGGAUGACCGGCCACAUUGGGACUGAGACACGGCCCAAACUCCUACGGGAGGCAGCAGUGGGGAAUAGUGCACAAUGGGGGAAACCCUGAUGCAGCGACGCCGCGUGAGUGAAGAAGUAUUUCGGUAUGUAAAGCUCUAUCAGCAGGGAAGAAAAUGACGGUACCUGAGCAAGAAGCCCCGGCUAACUACGUG